GAUCAUGGCUCAGGACGAACGCUGGCGGCGCGCCUAACACAUGCAAGUCGAACGAGAGAGAAGGAGCUUGCUUCUUCGAUCGAGUGGCGAACGGGUGAGUAACGCGUGAGGAACCCGCCUCAAAGAGGGGGACAACAGUUGGAAACGACUGCUAAUACCGCAUAAGCCCACGGGUCGGCAUCGACCUGAGGGAAAAGGAGCAAUCCGCCUUGAGAUGGCCUCGCGUCCGAUUAGCUAGUUGGUG
rnacentral:rRNA from 1 species